rfam:Faecalibacterium sp. CAG:1138 genomic scaffold, scf30
GGGGUAGUUCUCAGAUUCGCCGGGGGCGACGUAUGAGAUGAAAAGCAUGCCGCAGGCUCGUCUGCGUAACAACGGAAAACUUAAAUUAAACGCAAAAGAAACUAAAUCUGCAAACACCGGUAGAGUGUUCGCAUUCGCUGCUUAACAAUUCGCGGCAUGUCGGCCCGACGUUCUCUGUCCGUCGGUAACCGGCAUCAUAUUGACAGGGGAACGGCUUCGGCGGCGGCAAAACCGAAGCGGCAUCUUAACCUCUUCAAACCUUUUGCCCGUUUGCGGGCGGCGGGGAGAGAAACUUAAACGCAAACUAAGCAUGUAGAAAGCGUCGGGUACGUGCUUUCGUACACGGGUGCAAGUCCCGUCUACUCCACCA